UACAGAGGUGGCAAGCGUUGUUCGGAAUUACUGGGCGUAAAGGGCGCGUAGGCGGGCGGGCAAGUCAGGGGUGAAAUCCCACGGCUCAACCGUGGAAGUGCCUUUGAUACUGCCGGUCUGGAGGGAGGUAGGGGCGUGCGGAACCUCCGGUGGAGCGGUGAAAUGCGUAGAUAUCGGAAGGAACACCGGUGGCGAAGGCGGGUUGCUGGGCCGACACUGACGCUGAUGCGCGAAAGCCAGGGGAGCGAACGGG
rnacentral:rRNA from 1 species